UAGAAAUGAUGAAUUAAGACUCUGAGAAACCAUGACGAGUUUAUUUUUAGAUAGUCAAGUACUGAUCUAG
rnacentral:snoRNA from 1 species